rnacentral:rRNA from 1 species
AACUGCGACCCCAGGUCAGGCCGGGGAUUACC